CCGAAUAACCGCUCAAACCUCUCGCCCGCAGAGAACAAGACGAUGGUAUUUGGACUCAACCUGGAGGUGUCACCCAAAGUGUCUUCGUCGUGGAUUCAGAAGGAGAUUCGUUUCCCGAAUGGCACCAAUGAGAUAACCAUCUGCAUGAACAUCCUACUGCGGUUCAAACUCUGCAGCAGAGUGGCGUUCUUCACACUCAACAAGAGGAUUGCGUUUAUAAUGGAGGAAACGAACACAAUUCUCAUCCAGAAGUCUCGUUUCUACGUCGGACCCACAUCAGUCACGCCCAGAGUCAAAAUAAUGGUCACGCCCUUCGCCUGGAGCCACGUCUGCGUCAUGUUUGGUACUAAUCCCUCGGUCUAUCGAAAUGCACAGCCAUUCCCUAUUGUGCCAGCGUCAGGAACGGAGGAGCCUUUUAUUGAUUUCAGUAUACCCUACAACGCGUCAGCCAGCGUUCCCGAUGGUCUCUACCCAGACAAAACAGUCGGGGGAUUCUGCGGUUAUGCCACAAUCCCUAACGUUUUCGCGAGGCGUCUCACAGCGGAAGAGGUUGGUCGUUGAUUACUAUAACAUUCGCAGUUUUAGAAUCUGGCCUACUUAUACAAGACUCUUGGACGUUAUCAUUUUUAGAAUCUGACUGAUCUAGAUUGGACUAUCUUGUGUAUUUUCGGUUUCAGGAUCUGACUGAUCUACUUGGGACUCUCUUGUGCAUGUCCAGUUUCAGAAUCUCACUGAUCUAGAUAGGAUUCUCUUGCUUGUCCGUAAGAGUAAGUCUUUUGUCAGUUGAGAAGUACUUUGUCUACUGAAAUCACGAGGACUCACACCGAUCAAGAAGCAAUAUUUUCUUAAUCACCUGACCCAAGUUUCAGUGUCUCUAGAUAGUUAAGCUGUGUUCAAGAGUGUAGAUUUUUUAUCGUCAUCACUUAUAAGACUAUUCUCUCCCUUUUCAGCGGUAAGAAUAAAGGGCACCUUUCAAAGAAUCCGUUUUCUAUGCGUUGAAAAUACGAUAUUACAUAAAUCUUCAUGUAGGUUCGAGGGAAUAUAAAAUGGCCAAGUAAGUUACGCCAACGGAAUGCCUGAGGUAUUUUACUGCAGUUUCUUAUGACAGUAGACAUAACAUUAGGAAAACGAAGUGAAAAUUCAUCUCGUCUGCUUUUUCAAAUCUUUGGGUAGGCGAACGAGGUAUUAUUUCUGACUGAACAAGUCACUCAUUGAAGCACUUCCUCGAGCAGAAGUAGAAAAUUCUGGAAAACAGAUAAUUUAGAAAAUUCUGAAAAAAAAUUAAUGGAUUUUUUAAGAGCAGAAAAAUGUAUCUAUACCCUUUUCAAUGCCAAAAAAAUAUCGGAUGUCAGUGAAGGUGCAUUGACCCAUCACUAAUUUUUUUUCCGUUUUUUUUUUCUGUAAUAAUAUUGAUAUCACACUUGACACUUGGUUGUGGUGAUUUGUUCCAAAAUGUCUUGAUGUUUUUUUUUUAUUCGGUAAAAACGUUUUACUGAGAUGUGAUUUUAUUUCUCGAAGAAAACUUCAUGAAACCUUUAUUACGAAACAGGUCAGAAAAAUUGCAUACAACGAAGAGAUUCCCGAGGAAGAUCUGUCAGCUGGCGAGUGGAAGGCCUAUACCAAUCAUCACCUCUUCAUUACGACUCUCCAGCGUAAUGGCUCGCGAAUUGAUUACACUCCUUUCGCGGGAUUGUCUAACAGGUAUAUAUGGAAUGAAAUGGAAUGUCUAACAGGUAUAUAUGAAAUGGAAUGUCUAACGGGUAUAUAUGGCUUUGUACUUUACCUCUGUUCCCAAAUCUUCACUUCAGUCUGAUGUCUAACCGCCGCCAUCAUUAUUUCAUGGCGUAACUAUACGGUUUUGUCCUAAUUCUAGUUUUGUAUCCUAGCACUUCUCUCCUUAGAAAUACUCUGUCCUUUACUUCGCUGUUCAAUUACCCCAACUCUCCCUUUUCACAACCACUGACCGGAAGUUCACCAGUGAUUGGCUUGACAACCUAAAGUUCAUAAGAUUCAUUCAUUCACCAAAGGCAGCUUUCUUGAACAUUCAGUCUUCCGCCAUCUUAAUCCCCUCUCUUGCAGCACCAUGGCCUUUGAAAUAUCGGAGGAAAGAACCGUCAACAUCUACUUGCCCUACGACCCGCACAACUAUGCCGUGGCUCUUGGGUCUUAUGGGUACUACGAGUCCUUGGUGUUAUGCCAGAUCAUGAAGGGCAGCAUAUACAUUAUCAGCAGACAUGGACAUUUGUAGGAUCAGUCACUGUAUCAUACGUGUACAGAACGCGUAUUAGUUCCCUUCUUCUUCCAUUUAUUUUAAAGAAAACGGAGCAUCAUGCAGUGUAUGGGUCAGUGUGGGAAACCAUACAGAUUUGGUAAAAGAAAACAAAAAUCAGCAAUUUAUAUAACUAAAUACAUAUGCAAUGGCAGGGGGGACGGGGGGAAAUGUGGGACAUAAGGCUGAAAGGGGGACAUUAGGGCGUCCCCCCAAGACCGCAAUUUUUUGGGGAUAAAGAGUCAAAAAAGGGGACUGUCCCCCUCAAAGGGGGACGUAUGGUCACCCUAGGUAUCAGGGGUGUCAAACUCACGGCCCACGUGACAAAUUUGCCCUUGGGAUGGUCAUGAGUGGCCCGCGAGAUGACAGGAAGAUAUAUUGCCUCCUGAAAUGACGAUGUCAUGAAUAUACGUGAUAUAUGAAUAAGAGAGAGAAAAUUAAUAAGUAACCUUUAUUUUAUUAUGGCAAUAGUAAGUACAGUAAUUAUUCAUAUUGCUAUUUAUAGUAAUACAGCUAUUGCAGCUAUUAUAACGGGAAGAUGCUUAUAUAUUUGAAAAUCACUAAUCAGUUUAACGGACCGAAGCCGCAGCCAUUAGUGGUAUCCGAACGCAAUCAUGAGCAGCCAAACGUUAUUUCAUCACAACUGAUGGAGCUCCAGCCAUGCUUGGGUCGAGGUCGGGUUUCCAAGCAAAAGUAAAAUCCAAAGCACCAAAUGCAGUCGGUGUGAACGGCUUCAUUCAUCGGGAGGCUCUGGCUUCUAAAUCGCUUCCUUCUGGGCUUCUCACAAUUUUCACUUUGUAUUGUCAAGGUCGUGAACUAUGUGAAAAACUCUGCCCUCAACACGAGACUGUUCCAGCAACUGUCAUGACAUGGAAUCCGAACAUAGUUCCUUGCUCGUUUAUACAUCCGUCAGGUGGUUGUCUGCAGGGAGAUUUUUGUCCCGCUUCUUCUCUCUUCGCCAGAAAAAAUGUGACCUGUUGGAGAUAUUGAAAUCAGAACACUUUGAGCUCUGCCUUGCUUAUCUUGUGGACAUAUUUGAAAUCUUCAACCAGCUGAACUUGAGACUCCAAGGAAAUUUUUCAAACUUGCUCAGCCACUGUGACUCAAUACAUGCAUUUUUGGCCAAAUUGGAGCUGUAUAAGAGAGUGAGAGUAGGAAAAUUUAUGUUUCCAUCAUUGAAUGAAGUUCUUGCUGAUGGUCAGCUUUCAAGCACCUUGUCCAAGGAAAUCAUGAUCAUUUGUCUCAGUUAGAUGAUGAAUUUCGCCGUUACUUUCCUGACUUAAGCCCUCAGCAUGCAGGAUUAGCAAAAAAUCCGUUCUUAUGUCAGGAUGAU